GUGCCAGCCAACUGCGGCUGCCUGGGACACUCCAUCUUAAGUCCCUGUGCCUCUGCUGUGUGUUACUGAGUGCCUAGGCCAUGCCAGCCUGUAUUCAUCUGUACCAUGACCUGAAGAGGCAGAGGCUAUCGUUGUUGGUCCGGUCUCCACCUGGGGAAACUGAGGUUACACAGUGUCUGUGUGGUGAUGAGCAGGGCUUCAUCCAGUGCCCCUGUCCCCACCGAGGGGACUAUGGGAGCCAUGGAGGGUGCGUGAGCAGCAGGUGAGACUGGAGCCAGCUGAAAACUGGGAGACCGACCCAGCCAACAAACAAUGUCGGUCUCUGUCCUGGCACCCGCAGGAAACAAGCUCCUACUUCCAGAAAAAGUGCUCCUGGGACUCAAGGAUACCAAGCAUCUGGACGCAGUGGUAGAUGCCUGUAAUCCCAACACUUAGGCAGGAGGAUCACUCGAGCCCAGAAGAUCAAGACUAGCGUGAGCAACAAAAUCCUUCCCUGGCACCGGUUCCAGGAGGACCUGGUUCUUAGGCAGCAUCUGUAUCUCUGUUUUGUAAGACACACAG
rnacentral:lncRNA from 1 species